rnacentral:rRNA from 1 species
CUACGGGUCGCUGCAGUGAGGAAUAUUGCACAAUGGGGGGAACCCUGAUGCAGCAACGCCACGUGGAGGAUGACGCAUUUCGGUGUGUAAACUCCUUUUAUAUGUCAAGAAAAUGACGGUAGCAUAUGAAUAAGCACCGGCUAACUCCGUGCCAGCAGCCGCGGUAAUAGGAGGGUGCAAGCGUUACUCGGAAUCACUGGGCGUAAAGGACGCGUAGGCGGGUUGGAAAGUCAGGUGUGAAAUCCUACAGCUUAACUGUAGAACUGCACUUGAAACUUCUAAUCUAGAGUAUGGGAGGGGGAGAUGGAAUUAGUGGUGUAGGGGUAAAAUCCGUAGAUAUCACUAGGAAUACCUAAAGCGAAGGCGAUCUCCUGGAACAUUACUGACGCUAAGGCGUGAAAGCGUGGGGAGCAAACAGGAUUAGAUACCCUCGUAGUC